GGAGUGGUAGUUCAGUUGGUUAGAAUGCCGGCUUGUCACGCCGGGGGUCGCGGGUUCGAGCCCCGUCCACUCCGCCA
rnacentral:tRNA from 1 species